GAGUAACGCGUGAGAAACCUNCCGGUCUCAGUGGGGGACAACAGUUGGAAACGACUGCUAAUACCGCAUAACACUUUAGUACCGCAUGGUACAGAAGUCAAAGCUUUAUGUGCUGAGAGAUGGUCUCGCGUCUGAUUAGCUAGAUGGCGGGGUAAGGCCCACCAUGGCGACGAUCAGUAGCCGGUCUGAGAGGAUGAACGGCCACAUUGGGACUGAGAUACGGCCCAGACUCCUACGGGAGGCAGCAGUGGGGAAUAUUGGGCAAUGGGGGAAACCCUGACCCAGCAACGCCGCGUGAAGGAAGAAGGCCUUCGGGUUGUAAACUUCUUUUACCAGGGACGAAGAACGUGACGGUACCUGGAGAAAAAGCAACGGCUAACUACGUG
rnacentral:rRNA from 1 species